rnacentral:rRNA from 1 species
GUGGGGAAUAUUGCACAAUGGGGGAAACCCUGAUGCAGCAACGCCGCGUGGAGGAUGACGCAUUUCGGUGUGUAAACUCCUUUUAUAAGGGAAGAUAAUGACGGUACCUUAUGAAUAAGCACCGGCUAACUCCGUGCCAGCAGCCGCGGUAAUACGGAGGGUGCAAGCGUUACUCGGAAUCACUGGGCGUAAAGGAUGCGUAGGCUGUAAUAUAAGUCAGAAGUGAAAUCCAACGGCUUAACCGUUGAACUGCUUUUGAAACUGUUUUACUAGAAUAUGGGAGAGGUAGAUGGAAUUGGUGGUGUAGGGGUAAAAUCCGUAGAUAUCACCAGGAAUACCGAUUGCGAAGGCGAUCUACUGGAACAUUAUUGACGCUGAGGCAUGAAAGCGUGGGGAGCAAACAGGAUUAGAUACCCGAGUAGUCC